rnacentral:lncRNA from 1 species
UUGUACUUGAAUCCAGUCUCCAAAAGCUUUUUUGGUGAAAGGCUAGGUAUUUUAACUUCUUCACUUCUUGUCCCUCUGCACCUGCAAAAAAAAAGUACUUCAAUUAUUUUCGUCCGCUAAGGUCUUGCUAAUUGUGUAAGAUCCUCCAGAAGGCUUUAAGGUUCUCACAAGAUCCACGUUGGUCCAUGAAUUUUCAUCUAUUAUACUUUGAAGUAUCAACCAUAACAGUAGAUGCACUAGAAAUGUACACAACAUGUUUAAUUGUCUUUGAAUUCAGACACGCCUGUAAAUUACCAAAAGUCCCAUUAAUCUAUUGUUGUGUUAUUGUUUCUUCACUCACUUUGUUCCCAAAAUUAAUUUGAUGUGCAGCACGAGAAACACCAAUGCAGCCUUCAAUUGGUGGAUUGAAACUCUCUGGUUUGUCUAGAUCAGCUUUAAAAAUACGCAGCCUUUCUUGUGCACCUGGAAGAUUUGUGAGGUAGCUCACAUUCCUCUUGCGAUCUAGAGUCAGUGGAUUCAAUAUUUUCAUCUUCAUUAGCUUGAAUGUAUUUCUUAAUCAAAUAAAAGACUAACUAAUGCAACUUCAACUGGACAAUCACAUAAAACAAUUAAAUGAAUACAAAUUUAAGAGGACUGGGCUUAAAAUUUUGAAGACUAUAAAUUACACAUUUUAAGGAGAGUUAAGUGUAGAUAUCAUUUCGAUGAUCUAUAGCAUGUUUGGUCAAGCUGAAAAAAUCAGCUUAUUUCAAAAGUAAUUUUCGAAAAAUUCUUUUAAAGAAAAGCAGUUUAUUUAUAGAAAAACACUUUUGAACAAUGAUUUGUGUUUGACCAAGCUUUUCAAAAAGUGCUUUUAAGUGUCAAAUACAAAUAUGGACAUGAAGAGAUUUACUUAAUAGUUAAUAUUAUAUAAGUAGAUAAAUAAUUACAAAUAUUUAUUUUUCAAGACAAUAAUUAAGUUUUUAUUUUAUUUAAGUAAAAUAUAAAAUUAAAAUUGAAAAGUACUUUAGUCAUUCAAGAUAAUUUAAGUAUAUCAAAAAAUAUUCAAUAAUUAUGAAAGUUCAUCCCGAAAGUUAUUUUAUAUUACUUUACAGCUUAAACUAAUUAAGGUUAUUUUGAUAUAUAUAAUAUUUUGCAAAGGGUAUGUUUGUAAGGAAGAAAAGGCAAAACUACCUCUGCUUUUGCUUCUGGAGAGAAGUUACUUUUUUCUUCUUCUUUAAAUUUACUUCUAGCCAAAAGCACAUUGUUUAAAAAAAACAAUCUUGGCAAAAUACCUCAAUUGAGUAUUUAUUUUUGAAAAAAUAAAUAAAAUACUUUUGACAUGGUUAGAAGCUUGGCCAAACAAACUACAAGUACUGAUACAAAAGAAAUCUUUAUACUAACAAUGAUCUCAUGAGAAAUUACCUGAAUAUCGAGGAAGAGGAAGGGCAUAUACCGAUGGUAGAGGGAAUAAUAUUCUCGCCAAAUUAUAAGUUGAUUUUAUUAUUAUUGUAAUUGUAUAAAAAUAAAUAUAACCAUUAUUUAAAACUAAAAUGCAAAUGUAAGAAACAAGAUGGUAUUUAUUUGAAUGAAAUAAAAAAUGAAAAGUAACUAGAAGAAAACAAUAUAAUAUACAAGAGAAGAAAAAAAAUAUUAUUUUUUGAUGUAAAAGAUAAUAUAAUGGUGGAAGUAAAUAUGGUGUUAUACUAUUUUGGUGUAAAUUUUGGAGAUGGCCUAACUAUUGAAUUCUCUAUGCAGCGUGAAAUUCAUUAAUCGUUGAAACGAAGCCAAAGCAUCUUCGUGGCACCAUCUCAGCACUUAAAGCCUCAAAGCAGUGGGAGCCCCAAAUGUUGUCAAGUGAUCACAUUAAUCUCUGUUGCAUCUGGCAUUGGACUUGAGGUCACGAUCUCUAAUUUUUAAAUUCACUUUCAUUUAGUACUUGAAAUAUUCCUUUUUUGUUCAAGUCCUAAUUUUGUGUAAUGCUAGAGAGUUGUUUGAUGAAAUGCCACAACUAGAUUUGUCGGUCGUAGAAUGCUGUGAAGUUUGAAUUAACAAAGGUUUGAAUUCUGUGAAUUGUUCAUGGAGGUGGAAGCUCCAGUAAAUUUUCACACUUGCUCUUUUGGCUCUAUCCAUAGAAAUGCAUUUGCUGGACAACCACUGAUAUGUUUAAGAGUAAUAAAUGUAAGAUUCCAAUUAUUCGGGUGAAUAAGAACAUUGAAACAAAGGGAUUAGAGUAUGCCUCUUUGUUUGCAACACUCAAUUGCUCCAUUAAACAUUUCUUCAAGACCAUACGUGUACUUGAAUCCAGUCUCCAAAAGCUUUUUUGGUGAAAGGUUAGGUAUUUUAAGUUCUUCACUGCUUGUCCCUCUGUACCUGCACAAAAAAACAGUACUUCAAUUAUUUUCUUUCGCUGUCUCAAAUUAAACGUUUUAAUUUGCCUAGAUAUAAUAUAAGCAACUAAAAUGUGCAUUGCUUAGCUUGCAAGAUUGAGCAACAUCACAUGCUCUUUGGCUAAUCAAAUUAAGAAAAAUUAUUUUUAAUAUAAUUUGCUUAGGUCAUAUGUUAACCUUUUACCAGAGUAUAUUAU